CUACGUAGGGUGCGAGCGUUGUCCGGAAUUACUGGGCGUAAAGAGCUCGUAGGUGGUUUGUCGCGUCGUCUGUGAAAUUCCGGGGCUUAACUCCGGGCGUGCAGGCGAUACGGGCAUAACUUGAGUACUGUAGGGGAGACUGGAAUUCCUGGUGUAGCGGUGAAAUGCGCAGAUAUCAGGAGGAACACCGGUGGCGAAGGGGGGUCUCUGGGCAGUAACGGACUCUGAGGAGCGAAAGCAUGGGUAGCGAACAGGAUUAGAUACCCUGGUAGUCCAUGCCGUAAACGGUGGGCGCUAGGUGUAGGGGUCUUCCACGACUUCUGUGCCGUAGCUAACGCAUUAAGCGCCCCGCCUGGGGAGUACGGCCGCAAGGCUAAAACUCAAAGGAAUUGACGGGG
rnacentral:rRNA from 1 species